UACAGAGGGGGCAAGCGUUAUUCGGAAUUAUUGGGCGUAAAGGGCGCGUAGGCGGCCUUUCAAGUGACGGGUGAAAUCCCUCGGCUUAACCGAGGAACUGCCUGUCAGACUGGGAGGCUUGAGACCGGGAGAGGUGAGUGGAAUUCCCAGUGUAGCGGUGAAAUGCGUAGAUAUUGGGAGGAACACCAGUGGCGAAGGCGGCUCACUGGACCGGAACUGACGCUGAGGCGCGAAAGCGUGGGGAGCAAACAGG
rnacentral:rRNA from 1 species